AUUCGAAGCAACGCGAAGAACCUUACCAAAUCUUGACAUCCUUUGACAACUCUAGAGAUAGAGCCUUCCCCUUCGGGGGACAAAGUGACAGGUGGUGCAUGGUUGUCGUCAGAUCGUGUCGUGAGAUGUUGGGUUAAGUCCCGCAACGAGCGCAACCCUUAAGCUUAGUUGCCAUCAUUAAGUUGGGCACUCUAAGUUGACUGCCGGUGACAAACCGGAGGAAGGUGGGGAUGACGUCAAAUCAUCAUGCCCCUUAUGAUUUGGGCUACACACGUGCUACAAUGGACAAUACAAAGGGCAGCGAAACCG
rnacentral:rRNA from 1 species